UGCCAGCCGCCGCGGUAACACGGGGGGCGCAAGCGUUAUUCGGAAUUAUUGGGCGUAAAGGGCGCGCAGGCGGCCAUGUAAGUUGGGGGUGAAAUCCCGGGGCUCAACCCCGGAACUGCCUCCAAAACUACAUAGCUAGAGGAUGUGAGAGGAUAGUGGAAUUCCGAGUGUAGAGGUGAAAUUCGUAGAUAUUCGGAAGAACACCAGUGGCGAAGGCGACUGUCUGGCACAUUUCUGACGCUGAGGUGCGAAGGCGUGGGUAGCGAACGGGAUUAGAUA
rnacentral:rRNA from 1 species